CGUCUAAGCAGUAAGGCUGAGUAUUAGGCAAAUCCGGUACUCGUUAAGGCUGAGCUGUGAUGGGGAGAAGACAUUGUGUCUUCGAGUCGUUGAUUUCACACUGCCGAGAAAAGCCUCUAGAUAGAAAAUAGGUGCCCGUACCGCAAACCGACACAGGUAGUCAAGAUGAGAAUUCUAAGGUGAGCGAGCGAACUCUCGUUAAGGAACUCGGCAAAAUGACCCCGUAACUUCGGGAGAAGGGGUGCUCUUUAGGGUUAACGCCCAGAAGAGCCGCAGUGAAUAGGCCCAAGCGACUGUUUAUCAAAAACACAGGUCUCUGCUAAACCGUAAGGUGAUGUAUAGGGGCUGACGCCUGCCCGGUGCUGGAAGGUUAAGAGGAGUGGUUAGCUUCUGCGAAGCUACGAAUCGAAGCCCCAGUAAACGGCGGCCGUAACUAUAACGGUCCUAAGGUAGCGAAAUUCCUUGUCGGGUAAGUUCCGACCCGCACGAAAGGCGUAACGAUUUGGGCACUGUCUCAACGAGAGACUCGGUGAAAUCAUAGUACCUGUGAAGAUGCAGGUUACCCGCGACAGGACGGAAAGACCCCGUGGAGCUUUACUGUAGCCUGAUAUUGAAAUUCGGCACAGCUUGUACAGGAUAGGUAGGAGCCUUUGAAACGUGAGCGCUAGCUUACGUGGAGGCGCUGGUGGGAUACUACCCUAGCUG
rnacentral:rRNA from 1 species